rnacentral:rRNA from 1 species
GACGAACGCUGGCGGCGUGCUUAACACAUGCAGGUCGAACGAUGAACCAGGAGCUUGCUCCGGUGGAUUAGUGGCGAACGGGUGAGUAACACGUGAGUAACCUGCCCUUGACUCUGGGAUAACUGCGGGAAACUGUAGCUAAUACCGGAUACGACCCUCGGCGGCAUCGCCAGGGGGUGGAAAGAAUUUCGGUCAAGGAUGGACUCGCGGCCUAUCAGCUAGUUGGUGAGGUAACGGCUCACCAAGGCGACGACGGGUAGCCGGCCUGAGAGGGUGACCGGCCACACUGGGACUGAGACACGGCCCAGAUUCCUACGGGAGGCAGCAGUGGGGAAUAUUGCACAAUGGGCGCAAGCCUGAUGCAGCAACGCCGCGUGAGGGAUGACGGCCUUCGGGUUGUAAACCUCUUUUAGUAGGGAAGAAGCGAAAGUGACGGUACCUGCAGAAAAAGCACCGGCUAACUACGUGCCAGCCGCCGCUGUAA